GUAUCUUUGUUUCCUGUUCCAAUUAUGGCGACGUGCAGUGGGUCUUAGGUCUUAGCUCCACCAGCCCCCUGUCGAUGUCUGAUUUCCUGAUUUUAUUCAAGAUUUCCAUUUCAUUUUAAGCUGGUAAAUAUUCUUACUCGUAGACCUUGCUUGGCUUCUUUCAAAUAUACCGACUCGCAGUUGCUAUAUAACCCUUUCUUUCUCUAGAUUUUACAUUUAACCUCCUCAUUAUCUCCCCUCCUGAUGCGGGUCUGAUUUGGCAUUUGAUUUGAAUUUAUUUAUUUUUGAUGUUAUCUCCUACUUGAUCUCCUAUCUCCUGUAGAAGUCCUGCUGGCAUCCAAUAUCCUUUUAUCAUUGAUCAUGAUUUGUAUUCCGACUCAAGUUCUUCAUAAAGAAAACAUCUUUGUUGGUCCCUGAUUUGCUUUUUUUUUGUAACCUUUUCUUCAACCUUGGAGAACAUCCUUGA